rnacentral:rRNA from 1 species
UGGGGAAUUUUGGACAAUGGGCGAAAGCCUGAUCCAGCAAUGCCGCGUGUGUGAAGAAGGCCUUCGGGUUGUAAAGCACUUUUGUCCGGAAAGAAAUCCUUGGCUCUAAUACAGUCGGGGGAUGACGGUACCGGAAGAAUAAGCACCGGCUAACUACGUGCCAGCAGCCGCGGUAAUACGUAGGGUGCAAGCGUUAAUCGGAAUUACUGGGCGUAAAGCGUGCGCAGGCGGUUUGCUAAGACCGAUGUGAAAUCCCCGGGCUCAACCUGGGAACUGCAUUGGUGACUGGCAGGCUAGAGUAUGGCAGAGGGGGGUAGAAUUCCACGUGUAGCAGUGAAAUGCGUAGAGAUGUGGAGGAAUACCGAUGGCGAAGGCAGCCCCCUGGCCAAUACUGACGCUCAUGCACGAAAGCGUGGGGAGCAAACAGGAUUAGAUACCCUGGUAGUCCACGCCCUAAACGAUGUCAACUAGUUGUUGGGGAUUCAUUUCCUUAGUAACGUAGCUAACGCGUGAAGUUGACCGCCUGGGGAGUACGUCGCAAGAUUAAAACUCAAAUGAAUUGAC